UUCCCUACGGGACGCAGCAGUGGGGGAUAUUGCACAAUGGGGGGAACCCUGAUGCAGCGACGCCGCGUGGGUGAAGAAGCGCCUCGGCGCGUAAAGCCCUGUCAGCAGGGAAGAAAAUGACGGUACCUGAAGAAGAAGCCCCGGCUAACUACGUGCCAGCAGCCGCGGUAAUACGUAGGGGGCAAGCCUUAUCCGGAUUUACUGGGUGUAAAGGGAGCGUAGACGGCAGUGCAAGUCCGGAGUGAAAGCCCGGGGCUCAACCCUGGGACUGCUCUGGAAACUGUAAAGCUGGAGUGCGGGAGGGG
rnacentral:rRNA from 1 species